AAAAGUAAUUGCGGGUUUUGCCGUUGCUUUUAAUGGUAAAACCCACAAUUAUGUUUGU
ensembl:miRNA MIR548AS microRNA 548as